rnacentral:rRNA from 1 species
CUGCGAAUGGCUCAUUAAAUCAGUUAUCGUUUAUUUGAUAGUACCUUUACCUGGAUAACCGUGGUAAUUCUAGAGCUAAUACAUGCUAAAAACCUCGACUUCGGAAGGGGUGUAUUUAUUAGAUAAAAAACCAAUGCCCUUCGGGGCUCCUUGGUGAUUCAUAAUAACUUAACGAAUCGCAUGGCCUUGCGCCGGCGAUGGUUCAUUCAAAUUUCUGCCCUAUCAACUUUCGAUUGUAAGAUAGAGGCUUACAAUGGUCUUAACGGGUGACGGGGAAUUAGGGUUCUAUUCCGGAGAGGGAGCCUGAGAAACGGCUACCACAUCCAAGGAAGGCAGCAGGCGCGCAAAUUACCCAAUCCCGACACGGGGAGGUAGUGACAAUAAAUACUGAUACGGGGCUCUUUCGGGUCUCGUAAUUGGAAUGAGUACAAUCUAAAUCCCUUAACGAGGAACAAUUGGAGGGCAAGUCUGGUGCCAGCAGCCGCGGUAAUUCCAGCUCCAAUAGCGUAUAUUAAAGUUGUUGCCGUUAAAAAGCUCGUAGUUGAACCUUGGACCUGGCUGAUCUGUCCUCCUAAUCGAGCGCACGGAUUCGGUCGGGUCUUUCCUUCUGGGGAACCUCAUGCCCUUCACUGGGUGUGCUGGGGAACCAGGACUUUUACCUUGAAAAAAUUAGAGUGUUCAAAGCAGGCCUUUGCUCGAAUACAUUAGCAUGGAAUAAUAGAAUAGGACAUCGGUUCUAUUUUGUUGGUUUCUAGGACCGCUGUAAUGAUUAAUAGGGAUAGUCGGGGGCGUCAGUAUUCAAUUGUCAGAGGUGAAAUUCUUGGAUUUAUUGAAGACUAACUACUGCGAAAGCAUUCGCCAAGGAUGUUUUCAUUAAUCAGUGAACGAAAGUUAGGGGAUCGAAGACGAUCAGAUACCGUCGUAGUCUUAACCAUAAACUAUGCCGACUAGGGAUCGGACGGUGGUUUUUUUAUGCCCCGUUCGGCACCUUACGAGAAAUCAAAGUGU